GCAACUUUUAAAAAAUCUCACAGAUAAAAAGAGUUUAAAUUUUUUGCCAUGCCGUUAUAAUUAAAUUUGCCAUGUCAAUAUAGGAAAAAUUGCCAUGGCCAAAUUAAAAUACAAUUGUGCCAUAUUUUUCUUUUUUAUUAAAGGCACUAUAUUGCCGUGGCAAUGUAGGUAAAUUUUCUAUGUUAAAAAGGUAAAAUUGCCAUGGAAAAAAAUAAUAUUGGCACCAAAAAACAACACUUGCCAUGGCAAAGAACAUUUUUAAUGAGGAAGUAUUAAAAUUUGCCAUGGCAAAUACAUAUGAA